rnacentral:miRNA from 1 species
UCAACUCACUUAUCUUAAAUGUGA